rnacentral:rRNA from 1 species
UCCGUAGCCGGGUUGUUAAGUCUCCUGGGAAAUCCAACGGCUCAACCGUUGGGCGUUCAGGGGAUACUGGCAAUCUAGGGAUCGGGGGAGGUGAGAGGUACUCUAGGGGUAGGAGUGAAAUCCUGUAAUCCUUGGGGGACCACCUGUGGCGAAGGCGUCUCACCAGAACGACUCCGACGGUGAGGGACGAAAGCUGGGGGAGCAAACCG